UACUUCUGCACUGUGUUCAAGCUUUCUGUCAAUAAGAAGAGCUGCUGUGAAGAGAACAAUUGUCAGACUGAAUGUUGAACAUCAGCUAGUUUCUCCUGCUGAUUGAAACCUUGUUGUACAGAUGGAACAUUGGCUGUGGAUUAUUCUGGCUGCUCUUUUCUUUGAGUGUAAAGGAGAAGACACAGUGACCCAGCCAAGAGAAGAUGUUACUGCUGCUGAAGGAGACCAUGUUAAACUCAGCUGUACUUUUACUACCACAAGUACUGCAGCUCCCACAUUGAUCUGGUACAAACAAGAAGUAAAUAGUUUCCCAAAGUACAUGCUGAAACGUUACUUAACCACAGCAGAGAAUGAUCCAGAGUUCAGCAAAGACAGAUUUGAUGCUAAGAUCAAAGACAAAUCGGUUCCUCUGAAGAUCCAGAAGCUUCAUGUGUCUGACUCUGCUGUGUACUACUGUGCUCUGCAGCCCACAGUGACAGGAAACAGCAAAACUCUGUACAAAAACCUUUGGAGCAAAGACAACGCAAUACUCCACAACGUCCACUAGAGGGCCUCACACACUGUUACACUUCUAUGGUUUGUCAGGAUUCAGUCUGGGUUCUUUGUACAGGUGUAAAUAAAGUAAACAUCACUGUUUUCUACAUCAUUACACUCUAAUAAAAUACAUAUUUUUAUUACUUUACUACAAGAAUCAGAACAUAGUGUAUAGAUA